rnacentral:rRNA from 1 species
AACGAACGCUGGCGGCGGGGUUUAGGCAUGCAAGUUGUGCGUGAAAGUCUUCGGAUGAGUAGCGCGGCGAAAGGGUGAGUAAUGGUUCGUUAACGUGCCCCUUGGACUCGGAUAAUUCCUGGAAACGGGUUGUAAAACGGGAUGGGACCUCGGCCACUUUGGUGGCUGCGGUGAAAGCGCAGGGAUCUUUCGGGACCUGCGGCCAAGGGAGCGGACGAGCCCCGAUUAGCUUGAUGGUGGGGUAAUGGCCUACCAUGGCGAUGAUCGGUAGCCGGCCUGAGAGGGUGUACGGCCACACUGGGACUGAGACACUGCCCAGACUCCUACGGGAGGCUGCAGUCGCGAAUCUUCCACAAUGGACGCAAGUCUGAUGGAGCCACGCCGCGUGUAGGAGGAAGGCCUUCGGGUUGUAAACUACUGUUGCGAGGGGGGAAUUGCAUGCGUUGAAUAGGCGUAUGUUUGACUGCCCUCAUGAGGAAGCCCCGGCUAAACACGUGCCAGCAGCCGCGGUAAUACGUGUGGGGCAAGCGUUGUUCGGAAUUACUGGGCUUAAAGGGUGCGUAGGCGGCCUAUUAAGUCAGCUGUGAAAUCCCACGGCCUAACCGUGGACGUGCAGUUGAUACUGAUGGGCUUGAGUGUGCUAGGGGUGAGCGGAACGAGUGGUGUAGCGGUGAAAUGCGUAGAUAUCACUCGGAAGGCCGGAGCCGAAGGGGGCUCACUGGGGCACAACUGACGCUGAUGCACGAAAGCGUGGGGAGCAAACAGGAUUAGAUACCCUGGUAGUCCACGCCGUAAACGAUGAGCACUAGAUGGGUGUGUUUCUGGCAUGCCUGUCGGAGAAAAAUUGUUAAGUGCUCCGCCUGGGGAGUAUGGUCGCAAGGCUGAAACUCAAUGGAAUUGACGGGGGCUCACACAAGCGGUGGAGGAUGUGGUUUAAUUCGAAGCAACGCGAAGAACCUUACCAGGCCUUGACAUUCUGGGAUUAACUAUGUGAAAGCAUGGGGCUUCUCCUUACGGAGGUAACCAGAACAGGUGCUGCAUGGCUGUCGUCAGCUCGUGCCGUGAGGUGUUAGGUUAAGUCCUUUAACGAGCGAAACCCCUACGGUUAGUUGCCAGCGCGUAAAGGCGGGGACUCUAGCCGGACUGCCGCGUGCAAGUUGGAGGAAGGUGGGGACGACGUCAAGUCAUCAUGGCCCUUAUGGUCUGGGCUACACACGUCCUACAAUGGCCGGUACAAAGGGAGGCAAAGCCGCGAGGUGGAGCAGAUCCCAUAAAGCCGUCCUCAGUUCGGAUUGUAGGCUGCAAUUCGCCUACAUGAAGCCGGAAUCGCUAGUAAUCGCGGGUCAGCUACACCGCGGUGAAUAUGUUCCUGAGCCU